GCUGGAAGACAUACAAGCACAGUAAAUAAACAAAAAAAACUCAAUCAUAUAGUGUUAUCACAUCGUAACAUUUACGUGUUUGAUAAUAAAAAAGCAGUGUAACAUUUAGGUGAAACAGAAAACCAUGUUAACCGGGAAUUCUCCAGUCCAUCGGUACUCCUGGAAAAGAUCCCCAGGUCGAAGGAAGCUGGUGCGUACAAGUUUGGAUUCCCCAUGGAAAGCCAUGAAUCUGCAAUGGGUCCCUAAAGGGUAGGUUUCUCAUGCUAUUUAGUAGAGAUCCUUCACAGAUUCAGUGUUUGUUGGUGUCGUUUCUUCACGAAUUCAGUGCUGAAAUGCGUAGUGUUUGACAGAUUAAUUUGUUGUAAUGCUUGAUAAAUUUGGAGUAACUGUUAUUCUUGUUUUAGGAUGGAUCCUAGUUCUGUGUGCAGAAUUGUUGUGCGCAUUGCAGAUUAUGUUGAGACUUCGGAUGAUGGUAGCCAGUUCUUUCACAGAGCUAAUGAUUUCCAGUUGAUAGUGGAUAGGGAUACAACAAAUUUGAAGGAUAUUUCAGUUGAUAUAGCACUGAAGGUGAAGCAUGGAACCCAUCAGGGCAUGACACUAACUUUCUGGAAUAAGGGCAUCUCAAAUUACUCCAUUGUCACUUCAUACUCACAAUUGAUGAGUUCUUUCGACAUGUUUUGGGGACUUUAGAUUGCUUCCUUUGACUGUGACCAUUUAUGACAGUUUCAGUUGUGUAUAGCCACGAGCACACUACCCAAUCUAGCCAGGAUCAUCUACAUUUAGGUUCCAUCGAAGAUCCUUCUGACCUAAAUGUUCUUGCAGAUCAUGGUCUUGAUGGCUCUGCUAGUCAGCAUGGUUCUGAUGGUCCAUCUGUACAUAAAUCAAGGAAUGCAAAGAAAGGAAAAGAUCUGGAGGAUGAUGAGGACCAGUAUGUUGGUUUAAAUGAUGAGGCUCCAUACAUGUCCGAUGUUGAGGCAGACAUUGCUUCUGACCAUGAGGCUCCAGACAUUGGUUCAGAGCAUGAGCCUUCUGAUUCCGACUUAAAUGACGAGGAUGAGCUUGCAGUUGAUGACUCUAUUGGUUGUGAAAUUGUUGAGCAUGUUACUAAAUUAGAAAACCCAUCCAUUGUUGUCGGUGUGACAUUAGGAUGGGGAUACUUUUAAAAGAGCAAUUAGGCAAUAUGCAGUACUGAAUGAGUUUGAAAAUUGCAGCUCCUUACAGUGAAAGUACGAGGACAGAGGACACUGCAAGGGUAAACAGAGGAAGGGUAAGAACUGCAAGUGGAGGACUCAUGCUUCUCAACUGCAGGAUGGCAUGACUUGGCAGAUAAAGAAGCUACAACCAAAGCAUACAUAUGCUAGUACAUCCAAGCUCGAACACAAUUGCAUGGCUACCAAUGCAUGGGUGAGGGACAAUGGAGCUGCAGUGCUGAAGGAGUUAGAGAAGAAGUACAAUAUCCAGCUGUCAACCUAUGUGGUAUGGGAUGGAAAAGAAGUGGCAUUGGAACAGAUCAUGGGCAAAUGGGAUGACAGUUUUGAUGAUGCUUUCAGCUUCAAGGCAGAGGUUGAGAGGACUAACCCUGGAAGUUCAGUGGAGAUUGAGUAUGCAAAAGUAGGCAAGGGAUACAGAUUUACCAGGAUGUUUGUUGCACUGAAGACUUGUGUGGAUGGGUUUCUGAAAGGUUGUAGACCCUUUUUAGGAGUGGAUUCAAGCGUGUUUACAGGUGGGUGGAGGGGGCAAUUAGCAUCUGCCUCAGCAAUUGAUGGGCACAACUGGCUUUUCCUAGUUGCAUAUGGUGUAUUUUGAGUCAGGGUCCACUGAUAGUUGGAAGUGUUUUUUUGAGAAGAGUUAGCCAUAGGUUCUCCAUCAGGUUUGGUCAUCUCAACAGAUGCCGGCAAAGGAAUUGACAGUGCAGUUACAGCAGUGUUUCCAUAUGGAGUGGAGCACAGGGAGAGUAUGCGUCAUCUAGUGAAGAAUUUCCAGAAGAGGUACAGAGGUGCUGUGUUCAAGAAGCAUCUAUGGCCAGCUUGUAGAGCUUAUAAUAAACAUCACUAUGACUACCACUACGACAUCAUGAAGAAACUCUCCAAAUGCCAUCAAAUGGAUAGAAGACACACACAAGCAUCUAUGGAACAGACAUAGGUUCUCUGAAGUGAGCAAGUGUGACUAUGUCACAAACAAUAUUGCUGAGACAUUCAACAGUUGGAUUAGAAAUGAGAAGUCUGAACCCAUCAUUCCCCUCAUGGAUAGGAUCAGACAGAAAAUCAUGAAGAAACAUAAGAUAAGGAGGGAUUUGGUCACAACGAUGAAGGGUAGAAUUCUGCCUCAUAUUAUUACAAAGGACCUAAAUGAGAGGAUCAGGAAUCUUAACUGUCAUUCACAAGGGGCCUAAUAACAUUGCAGAGAUUGAACGAGCUACAGAGAAGAUGAAGACAUGGAGACAUACAGUUGAUCUGGACAAAAAGGAAUGCAGCUGCAGAAGGUGGCAGAUUACUGGGCUACCAUGCACACAUGCACUUGCCUCAUCACCUCUAGCCGUACUAGAAACGUAGAAGACUAUGUAGAUGACUACUAUUCUGUUGAAAGGUUCAAGAAAGCAUAUGAAGGUACUGUCAUGCCCAUGACUGAUAGAAGCCAAUGGCCUAAGGUGGAAUUGGGGUUCAAGAUUUGGCCACCUGUGUUGAAGAGGUCAGCUGGUCGUCCAAGGUCAAGGAGAAUCAAGAGUGUACAAGGAGGAGGAAAGAAGGUGACUAGUCAAAUGCAGUGUAAGAGGUGUGGCCAAUUCGACCAUAUGAUGAAAACUUGCAAUGAGACUAUGUAUGACUCUGAUGCACCCCCUCCAGCUCCAGCAAAGUCAAAGAAGCACAAAACCAAGAAAUCAAAUAAACCAACAAGUACUGUCUCAACCCAACAAUCCCAAUUUGCCAACACUAGCCCAGCUGCCAACACUAGAGGCCGUAAGAGAUAGUUGGAACAAGGAGAAGGUGCUUCCACAAAACCGGCAAAGAAGGUGAAUGCUAAAGGCAAAGGAAAAAGAGUGAAGAAGCAACUGCUCAAUAUCUAGGCUUGUUUAAGUUGAUGUCAUGCCAAACUAGUUAGGCAUGUUUAUGUGAUGUACUGCCAGACUAUUUAGGCAUGUUUAUGUGAUGUAAUGCCAGACUAUUUAGGCAUGUUUAUGUCAUGUAAUGCCAGACUAUUUAGGCAUAUUUAUGUGAUAUCAUGCCAGACUACUUCUAAGCUUUC